rnacentral:lncRNA from 1 species
UGGGGUCUUGACUUGUAAAGCAAAAGUGCAGAGGGACUGAAAUACUGAAAACAAUUAUUAUAUACACACACAACAUGGACGUAUCAGUUGAACAAAACUAUCGGGUCUCACCACCCCACUUUUGCCUAUUCUCAAUGUAAAAAAGGAAGAAAGAGAGAGAGAGAGAGAGAGAGAGAGAGAGAGAGAGAGAGAGAGACGUACAAAUUGUGGGGGAUUCUGGGAGUUCCUUUCAAAAUUUUGGUCUGGGCACUGAAUUUUAAUGGUGUGGGGCAGAGUAGUGGGCCAAGUAGCUCGCGGCUUCUUUCUGGAAGGGGAAACACAACAUGACUGGGAGAGAGAGAGAGAGAGAGAGAGAGAGAGAGAGAGACGUACAAAUUGCUUUAACAAAGAAAGAGUGGCUGGAUGGAAACCGAGCUACUCCUUCGGGCCUUGGCAUUCCCUCCUCCCUCCCACCAUAUGUGAAGAUUCCAUUACAGUUGGUGUAAAAAAGGAGACAUCCAGCAGAACAGUAUCCACCUCCUUUGGCUGCAGCUGAAACCGAACCAUCUCCUAGGAGUCUUUUGCUCAUUUCCAGGCAGUCACCUCCAUCUCUUUAGGUCCCGGUGGAAACAGCUGCUCAACAGCGACACAAAGAACCUCAAACCCUCCCCAUGUUUACAUACAGGCUAGCAAGCUGCGUUCUUUCUGUCGUUACUUUCACACUUCUUGCGGUUGCUCAGUUUACGAAGGGAUGGGCGAUAUACGAAGAAGAUCCUGUGCAUCCCAUCUAUACUGGCUUAUGGACCGUCUGCCCAGAUGAGGAGUGCAAUUUCAUCAUAGUCAGAGAAACAAACUUGGACUUCGUCCGGGCCUUCAUGAUUGUGGCCCUCUUUACUUGUUUCCUGGCUAUACUGUGCUCAACAGAAUGGGAGCCUCUCAUUACCUGCACUGAGGAUUUUUUCCCAAAAGGCCCCCUUGCUGCUGUUUUCAGCUUUCUCACCGGUAAGACUGUCAACAAUCAGAACUUACUGGGAGAAAUUUUUUUCACAGCUGAGAGGAGAAAC